UACGUAGGGUGCAAGCGUUGUCCGGAAUUAUUGGGCGUAAAGAGCUCGUAGGCGGUUGAGUAAGUCGGGUGUGAAAACUCUGGGCUUAACCCAGAGCCGCCACUCGAUACUGCUCUGACUUGAGUUCGGUAGGGGAGCAGGGAAUUCCUAGUGUAGCGGUAAAAUGCGCAGAUAUUAGGAGGAACACCGGGUGGCGAAGGCGCUGCUCUGGGCCGAAACUGACGCUGAGGAGCGAAAGCGUGGGUAGCAAACAGG
rnacentral:rRNA from 1 species